GAUGGACGCUGGCGGCGUGCCUAAUACAUGCAAGUCGAGCGAACGGACGAGAAGCUUGCUUCUCUGAUGUUAGCGGCGGACGGGUGAGUAACACGUGGAUAACCUACCUAUAAGACUGGGAUAACUUCGGGAAACCGGAGCUAAUACCGGAUAAUAUUUUGAACCGCAUGGUUCAAAAGUGAAAGACGGUCUUGCUGUCACUUAUAGAUGGAUCCGCGCUGCAUUAGCUAGUUGGUAAGGUAACGGCUUACCAAGGCAACGAUGCAUAGCCGACCUGAGAGGGUGAUCGGCCACACUGGAACUGAGACACGGUCCAGACUCCUACGGGAGGCAGCAGUAGGGAAUCUUCCGCAGUGGGCGAAAGCCUGACGGAGCAACGCCGCGUGAGUGAUGAAGGUCUUCGGAUCGUAAAACUCUGUUAUUAGGGAAGAACAUAUGUGUAAGUAACUGUGCACAUCUUGACGGUACCUAAUCAGAAAGCCACGGCUAACUACGU
rnacentral:rRNA from 1 species